CUCAGUAACACGUGGCCAAACUACCCUACAGAGAACGAUAACCUCGGGAAACUGAGGCUAAUAGUUCAUACGGGAGUCAUGCUGGAAUGCCGACUCCCCGAAACGCUCAGGCGCUGUAGGAUGUGGCUGCGGCCGAUUAGGUAGACGGUGGGGUAACGGCCCACCGUGCCGAUAAUCGGUACGGGUUGUGAGAGCAAGAGCCCGGAGACGGAAUCUGAGACAAGAUUCCGGGCCCUACGGGGCGCAGCAGGCGCGAAACCUUUACACUGCACGCAAGUGCGAUAAGGGGACCCCAAGUGCGAGGGCAUAUAGUCCUCGCUUUUCACGACUGUAAGGCGGUCGUGGAAUAAGAGCUGGGCAAGACCGGUGCCAGCCGCCGCGGUAAUACCGGCAGCUCAAGUGAUGACCGAUAUUAUUGGGCCUAAAGCGUCCGUAGCCGGCCACGAAGGUUCAUCGGGAAAUCCGCCAGCUCAACUGGCGGGCGUCCGGUGAAAACCACGUGGCUUGGGACCGGAAGGCUCGAGGGGUACGUCCGGGGUAGGAGUGAAAUCCCGUAAUCCUGGACGGACCACCGAUGGCGAAAGCACCUCGAGAAGACGGAUCCGACGGUGAGGGACGAAAGCUAGGGUCUCGAACCGGAUUAGAUACCCGGGUAGUCCUAGCUGUAA
rnacentral:rRNA from 1 species